GCCUCCUUAGCUCAGUGGUAGAGCAACGCACUUGUAAUGCGUAGGUCGUCAGUUCAAUCCUGACAGGGGGCUCC
rnacentral:tRNA from 1 species